UGCAGUCGCACGAGAAGCGGAGCAAUCCGUGAGUAAAGUGGCGCACGGGUGAGUAACACGUGAAUAAUCUACCUCCGAGUGGGGAAUAACUGAGAGAAAUCUUAGCUAAUACCGCAUAACACUUACGAGUCAAAGCAGCAAUGCGCUUGGAGAGGAGUUCGCGGCCGAUUAGUUAGUUGGCGGGGUAAUGGCCCACCAAGACGAUGAUCGGUAUCCGGCCUGAGAGGGCGCACGGACACACUGGAACUGAAACACGGUCCAGACUCCUACGGGAGGCAGCAGUGGGGAAUUUUGCGCAAUGGGGGAAACCCUGACGCAGCAACGCCGCGUGGAGGAUGAAAUAUCUUGGUAUGUAAACUCCUUUCGAUGGGGAAGAUAAUGACGGUACCCAUAGAAGAAGCCCCGGCUAACUUCGUGCCAGCAGCCGCGGUAAUACGAGGGGGGCAAGCGUUGUUCGGAUUUAUUGGGCGUAAAGGGUGCGUAGGCGGUUUGACAAGUCUUAUGUGAAAUCUAUGGGCUCAACCCAUAGUCUGCAUGAGAAACUGUCGGGCUUGAGUAUGGGAGAGGUGAGUGGAAUUUCCGGUGUAGCGGUGAAAUGCGUAGAUAUCGGAAGGAACACCUGUGGCGAAAGCGGCUCACUGGACCAUAACUGACGCUGAUGCACGAAAGCUAGGGGAGCAAACAGGAUUAGAAUACCCUGGUAGUCCUAGCCCUAAACGAUGAUUGUUUGAUGUGGCAGUACCAUCCUGCCGUGUCGAGCUACGGCGAUAAACAUCGCUGGGGAGUACGUCGC
rnacentral:rRNA from 1 species